GACGAACGCUGGCGGCGUGCUUAACACAUGCAAGUCGAGCGGUAAGGCCCUUUCGGGGGUACACGAGCGGCGAACGGGUGAGUAACACGUGGGUGACCUGCCCUCAGCUCUGGGAUAAGCCUGGGAAACCGGGUCUAAUACCGGAUAUGACUCCAUGACGCAGUGUUGUGGGGUGGAAAGCCUUGUGCGGCUGAGGAUGGGGCCCGC
rnacentral:rRNA from 1 species